CCCCAUUUCUAGUUGUUGAAGAGUAUGAUCACUGGAAAGUUAGAAUGGAGAGAUUUUUAGUUAGUAAGGAAAAUGUGAAGAGAUAUGGAGAUCUGUGAAAGAAGGUCCUCACGUUCUCGUAAGACAAGUGGUUAGAGAUGAUACUGCUAUUCUCAUGGGUCAUGAAGAAGAACGUCCAACGCCUCUAACUGCAUUACAUAUCAAAAAGAUUCAUGCAAAUCAUAUUUUCGUUUUCAGAAAUCAUGUUUGGUGUUCCUCCCUCUCUCUUUGAGCACAUAAAAUUGUGCAAAUUUGCCAAAGAGAUUUGGGAUACACUUCAAGACUUGUUCAAAGGUUCUAAGAACAUGAAGGAUAAGCAUUUGACAUCUUUCAUAAACUACUUUGAUACCAUCACCACAACUCCUGGUGAAUAUGUAGCCUCUGCAUCAAAUCAGUACAGGAUUGUUGUAAACUUGACUGCACACGGAAUAGUCAAAACUCCACUUGAGUACAAUCUAAAGUUCAUCAAUAGCCUCGGAAAAGGAUAGGUGAAUGUUAAGUCAUGUCUUCAAUGUAAUGGAUCUCUGAAGAAACUGAAGCUUUAUCAGAUAUUUGGCGAACUGCAAGGCUAUGAAUCUAACGUUGCUCAAACAUUAAGAGAACUUUCAUGAGUUCCACUCGCCUUACUUAGUUCUGUUAACCCACUAAUUACAAAUCCAUCUAUUUCAAAUCCUUUUGGAACUAUCCAACCUGUUUCACUUGUUCAAUCAACACUUCCUACUCCACCUAUCCCACGUGUUCCGAACCAUUCAUUUGAAGAAAAUCUUGAUCUCGAUUUAGCUGAUUAUGAACUUCGCUUCCAACAAGAAUUCACAUUUCUGUAUACGAAGUACAAACAUCCAUUGAAUCCAAGUCAUAAAACGUUUCAAAACUGAUUUCAAGCUCCUCGUUAAAUAAAUCCUCAACCUUUCACUAAACCUACAUAAAAUCCACCGGCAUACUGACCCAACAUCCCAAAUCACUAUUCAGAACCCCAGGAAGUUCCAAAACCAGUCAACCUCAAGAUUGUUUGUCACAAAUGUGGUCUCGGAAACCACUUUGCAAAGGACUGUUUGGCUGAAAUUUCCCAAAAACCAAAGAUAAAAGACUCUGCUAAUGUUGAUGGGUACUAAUCUUCUGGUGAUGAGGGUGAAGAAAUAUCUGCAAGAAACAUGUGUCUUAUGGCUAGAAAUUCAAUUAAAUGUGAUGAAGGAUACUAGUCUUUUGGUUCAAAAGCAGAUGAAGAAGAUGUUGAGCCAAAUUUUUGUUACAUGGUAACAAAUGGUCCAUCAGAGAGAAGCAUCAUCCAGCAGGUAAAAUCCAUGAUCACUAACAAUAAUUUUGAGUUUCUCCCUAGAAAGAACUAAUAUCAGUGAGAAUUUGGAGUGAGGUGGUGGCAAAGGAGGAGGAUGAGGAAGGUUGUUGUCAUUACUGGAAGAAACAUCUACUAAAAAAGUUUUAAUUAGUUUGAUUAAUCCUUAAAAUAAUUUAGCCAAAAAGAAUUAUAUAGCAAUGCUAGGAUCCAUAUUUGAAUUUAUGGUGUGUAAAAGAUGUCGUAAACACACCACAAAGUUAUUUAGGUAGGCAAUACUCUUUGCCAGUUUUAGUCUCUAUGAAAUUUCUAGAUCUUUUGAAAUUCUUUAACUAUCAAUAACAUGUUAAUCUCAGAUUAUGCUCAUCUCAAUUCUAUGACACAUAUGUCAUGGAUCAUACAAUAAACAAUGAAUCAACCAUGCAAAAUCACAUCAUCCUCGAUUCAAAUUACUCUCACGUUAACGUGUUAGUAAACCACACAUACUCCGUCAAAAUAAUUAUUUCUCAUGAGUUCCACAUCAUUUUCAACUUAUAUUCUCACAUUGAGGUGUUGGUUAAACACACACGCACCGUCAAUAGAAUAUAAAGAGAAUGCGCAUUUUCAUGGGUAACCUAUGAUUCACACUUUGAUUAUAUAAAACGAUAUUUUUUUAAUACUUUUAAGUUGGUACUUUUAGCUUGAAUAUUUUCCUAUCAACCCCUUUUUGUAACUCUACUCUCAAAAUGUAAAGAGGUGGUAAGGUGGUAAGCAGUAAGCUGUUAAAACCCAACCUUAUUAUGAAUAAAAGAUGUCGUAAACACACCACAAAGUUAUUUAGGUUGGCAAUACUCUUUGCCAGUUUUAGUCUCUAUGAAAUUUCUAGAUCUUUUGAAAUUCAUUAACUAUCAAUAACAUGUUAAUCUCAGAUUAUGCUCAUCUCAAUUCUAUGACACAUAUGUCAUGGAUCAUAAAAUAAACGAUGAAUCAACCAUGCAAAAUCACAUCAUACUUGAUUCAAAUUACACUCACAUUAACGUGCUAGUAAACCACACAUACUCCGUCAAAAUAACUAAUUCUCAUGAGUUCCACAUCAUUUUCAACUUAUACUCUCACAUUGAGGUGUUGGUUAAACACACACGCUCCGUCAAUAGAAUAUAAAGAGAAUGUGCAUUUUCAUGGGUAACAUAUGAUUCACACUUUGAUUAUAUAAAACGAUAUUUUUUAAAUACUUUUAAGUUGGUACUUUUAGCUUGAAUAUUUUCUUAUCAAACCCUUUUCGUAACUCUAUUCUCAAAAUGUAAAGAGGUGGUAAGGUGGUAAGCAGUAAGCUAUUAAAACCCAACCAUAUUAUGAAUAGAAGAGACCUCCUUAAACCUAUCUAUUAACAUUAGAGUAGGUAAACCUGGUCAUGAUAAGAUUUAAAAUAUUUUAUUUAAACAUGUGAGACACAUGUUGUAAUUUUCUUAUACAUAUAUAUAAACUCUUAAUACAUAUACAAGUAAAUUUAAAUAUUUUAAAUUUAGUGCCUUUUAUCAAUUUUAAUUUAAAUGUCAGGACACAAUGUAAAUAAUUAAUUUAAAUUUUAAAUAUUCUAAUUUAUAAAUCGCUAUUAUAAAUAAUAUUCAAAUUUAAUUCAAAUAUUCAAAGUUAAAUCACUUAUUAAAAUAAUAUUAAAUUUUAAGAAGUAUAUCUAAUAAUUUGAAAAAUAAACUAAUUUGUUUUACAUGCAGAACAUGUUAGGAAACUUGUCAAGCAAGUAAAAUAUCAACCCUAAUUUUCGAAAAUAAGGUUAAUUGAUAAACUCUUUAUUAAUUUUUAUUAAAAAAAUUCUAAGAUUAUCUAAUGCUGAUACAUGAAAGUGAACCUCUAGCAAUCCGAAGUCAAGCCAUUCCAAAGUGAUGUGCAUUUUGAGGAGUGAUUAGUUUCGAAAUGUAACUACUUAUGAAAUAAAGACAUGUUCGAGAAACACAUUGUAUUCAGUGCUAUUUUUAGUUUGUAUUUGCAUUUAAUGUUUCUUGUAUUUUAAUUCGUGUUUUAUUGUAAAGUUCAUGGGACAAGAUCGAGAAAAUCUUGUGUGUCAGCUUUUUGACUUUUCAGCUUUACAAUCUCCAUGCAAUCUUGUAGUUUGUCUUUUUAUCACUCCUUAUCUAUGUAAGGAGAUGUAAUCUUCAUGCAUGAUAUAGAGAAAUAGAAAGAACAACCUUCUCUUUCACUUCAAUACCUAGUAUCUUUCAUGUCAAAUCAUUCUCUCUAUCAUUCUCACUGUUCUUAAAAUCUCUUUACAUUGUUCAUACUCAUUUUCUUACAUGAAUACUUCGUUGAAUUUCUUACUUUAAGACAAGACUGGUUUACUAGACUUAACUGGAUGUUUAAUAUUAGUAGCAAACAUUGAUAUUAAGUUAAUUCAAGGUCUGAGUUUUCAAACCUUUUCCGCACACAUAUUCUUGCACUUUCAAUUGAUAUUAGAGCCUAAGUAGUUUUCCUUUUAAUCCAUAAGAACAUAUUAUAUUUGAUUUAAGAUUACCUUGGUAUCUCAAUCAUUUCUUUGUUCAAGAUAGAAGUUAUUCUAUAUACCACUUCAGAUCUAAUACUUUAACUUCAAUGGUUGCUUCUAAUCCAUCUCAACAAAUGUAUUCAAUGAAAAUAGCAAAUAGCGUGGGUUUCCCAACCUGUGCCCCAUUUCUAGUUGUUGAAGAGUAUGAUCACUGGAAAGUUAGAAUGGAGAGAUUUUUAGUUAGUAAGGAAAAGGUGAAGAGAUAUGGAGAUUUGUGAAAGAAGGUCCUCACGUUCUCGUAAGACAAGUGGUUAGAGAUGAUACUGCUAUUCUCAUGGGUCAUGAAGAAGAACGUCCAACGCCUCUAACUGCAUUACAUAUCAAAAAGAUUCAUGCAAAUCAUAUUUUCGUUUUCAGAAAUCAUGUUUGGUGUUCCUCCCUCUCUCUUUGAGCACAUAAAAUUGUGCAAAUUUG
rnacentral:lncRNA from 1 species